rnacentral:rRNA from 1 species
CACGUAGGGUGCGAGCGUUGUCCGGAAUCAUUGGGCGUAAAGGGCGCGUAGGUGGUUCUGUAUGUCUAUCGUGAAAGCAUACAGCUCAACUGUAUUUUGUCGGUAGAAACUGCAGGACUUGAGGCUGGGAGGGGCUGGUGGAAUUCCCUGUGUAGCGGUGAAAUGCGUAGAGAUGGGGGAGAACACUCGUGGCGAAGGCGGCCAGCUAGACCAGUUCUGACACUGAGGCGCGACAGCGUGGGGAGCAAACAGG